ACCCGCACAAGCAGCGGAGCAUGUGGUUUAAUUCGAAGCAACGCGAAGAACCUUUACCAGAUCUUGACAUCCAAUUGACCAUCUUUUAAUCGAGAUUUUGCCUUCGGGUACAAUUGAGACAGGUGGUGCAUGGUUGUCGUCAGCUCGUGUCGUGAGAUGUUGGGUUAAGUCCCGCAACGAGCGCAACCCUUGUGUUUAGUUGCAAACAGGUCAAGCUGUGCACUCUAGACAGACUGCCGUGGACAACACGGAGGAAGGUGGGGAUGACGUCAAAUCAUCAUGCCCCUUAUGAUCUGGGCUACACACGUGCUACAAUGGCCGGUACAACGGGCAGCGAAGGAGCGAUCCGGAGCGAAUCCUAAAAAGCCGGUCCCAGUUCGGAUUGCAGGCUGAAACUCGCCUACAUGAAGUUGGAGUUGCUAGUAAUCGCGAAUCAGAAUGUCGCGGUGAAUGCGUUCCCGGGUCUU
rnacentral:rRNA from 1 species